rnacentral:lncRNA from 1 species
CCUAAGGGGAAAUGAAUACCUCAGAGGGAACAUGGAGAACUUUCCAUCCUUUGUGUUCGAAGACACACUGUCCUUCCACUUCUCUGCCACCAGACCACCCUCUCAGCCCUCUGGGGAUAGAAAAGGAGAAGAGCCUCGACUAAGGCAGAGCAGUGGGAUGAGCCGUGGAUGGGGAGCCAGCUUUGAUGUGGGUUCAAACCCCAGCUAGAAAUGACAGACACCGGAGGAGACCACCCAGCACUAAGACACUGGGUCACUCAGUGUCACCACCAGAGGCACGGAUGGAAGCAGGAGCUAAAUGGAGGGAAAGGCAUGGGCUUUCUCUGCUGGCCUUGCCACUGACUUCCAGGACUUAGCCUCAGUUUCUCCACCUGAGUCAGGAGCAAGUAAAGAGAUGGACAGCCCUCGGCAAGAGGUAGGCCUUAGGAAACAACCAGUGAAUGAGAGAGUGAAUGAGUGCAUGAAUGUGUGGGGACCACCUCAGUAUGACAGAAAGGGUGACCUGUCGGAGCCUCAAGGGUGGCGGUGGGAGCUCCCUGGGUUGGGGAGGGGCCCGUGACACCUGAGCCAACUCCGUUCGGACGGAGAAAGAGCAAGAGAAACACAACAGCAGAAGCUAGAGCAGGUGGAGAAGCGCAGAGGACCUGGUUCGCAGGAGGAGAGAAGCGAGGAGCUACAAUGAGGGGACUCCGGGACACCGCUCUUGGAAGCAGCGGGAAGGUGCAGGCGCGGGAUCUCAGAUGACCACCCAGUCGGCGGCCCGCGCGUCUUUCUCGCUCGACCAGGCCCCGCAGCGCCGCCUGGCGGACACGCGGCGCUCCGCCCGGGCUUCGGCGGCAGCCGGUCGAGGAGCUGGGGAUACCCGGCAGUUCAGGAAAAAGCCGGAGGGAGCCCGGGGGCGCGUCGCGGGAGGGACAUUUAUUCCCGGAGCGGGGCUGGCACCUCGGCCUGGACCCGCAGCACAUACUAGCACCCUCUCUUCACUAACCCCGCUCUCGGGAUGACUCAGCUACGUCGAACACGUCAGGGAACCCUUUCUCCCCUCAACUCCCGGCCCCCAGCUAUGGAAUUUUGCUGCCUCUGAGUAGCUUCUCCGGGAAGGCGGUCUCGUUAAAAUUUCAAGGCGUUUUGGUUUUGAUUUUUGUUAAUAAAAUAACAAGAGUGGG